UCUAAAAAUAUAUUGUUUCUUGGAAGUUUUUUAAACUUGAAAAGUUUAAUUUAAAUUCAGUAUUGUGUUUGCAAGACUUUUUGAAGAAGAGAAGUAAUCCUUCUAGACCAAUGAAAGUUGAAAAUGGAUUUAAUUAUCAUUCUAACAGAUGGCAAGGGCGUUCCUGGAGGCUUUUCCAGACAAGCCAACUAUGACCUUUUCCACAGCUAAAUCUGACAUGGCAAAGGAACGGCAUUCUUUUGCCAUGGAAAUACUGAACUCAUCAGUGUUUGACAUGGAGAGCAACUGUGCAAUGUGCUCAGCUUGCAAACCGCCAAUGCCAGGGCCUCCUGUCACUGACUGGAUUCAAUGUGACACAUGCAACCGGUGGUACCACCUGCUCUGCCU